rnacentral:misc_RNA from 1 species
UUGACUUAUUGUAUAAGUUACUCAGAGAGGCCACUGAUGACAAAGAGUUUCGGGCCUCUGGCGGGGUGUCCGAACCCCUAGAGGGGGGCUAACGCAGCCCGUGGUUAGCGGGCCACCCGCCGAAGCAACGGUGAGGUAGGUUCACAAUGGUUGGGAGUUUUGCAACUCUGUAAUGAUCCCUCCGCUGGUUCACCAACGGAGA